GAGUUUGAUCCUGGCUCAGAUUGAACGCUGGCGGCAUGCCUUACACAUGCAAGUCGAACGGCAGCACGGGAGCUUGCUCCUGGUGGGCGAGUGGCGAACGGGUGAGUAAUGCAUCGGAACGUAUCCUGGAGUGGGGGAUAACGUAGCGAAAGUUACGCUAAUACCGCAUAUUCUGUGAGCAGGAAAGCGGGGGACCUUCGGGCCUCGCGCUCUUGGAGCGGCCGAUGUCGGAUUAGCUAGUUGGUGAGGUGAAGGCUCACCAAGGCGACGAUCCGUAGCAGGUCUGAGAGGAUGAUCUGCCACACUGGAACUGAGACACGGUCCAGACUCCUACGGGAGGCAGCAGUGGGGAAUAUUGGACAAUGGGGGCAACCCUGAUCCAGCCCAUGCCGCGUGAGUGAAGAAGGCCU
rnacentral:rRNA from 1 species